GACGAACGCUGGCGGCGUGCUUAACACAUGCAAGUCGAACGGUGAUGCUCCAGCUUGCUGGAGUGGAUCAGUGGCGAACGGGUGAGUAACGCGUGAGCAACCGGCCCCAGACUCUGGAAUAAGCGCUGGAAACGGCGUCUAAUACUGGAUACGAAACUGGCCCGCAUGGGCAUGGUUUGGAAAGUUUUUCGGUUUGGGAUGGGCUCGCGGCCUAUCAGCUUGUUGGUGAGGUAAUGGCUCACCAAGGCGACGACGGGUAGCCGGCCUGAGAGGGCGACCGGCCACCCUGGGACUGCGACACGGCCCAGACUCCUACGGGAGGCAGCAGUGGGGAAUAUUGCACAAUGGGCGAAAGCCUGAUGCAGCGACGCCGCGUGAGGGAUGACGGCCUUCGGGUUGUAAACCUCUUUCAGCAGGGAAGAAGCGAAAGUGACGGUACCUGCAGAAGAAGCACCGGCUAACUACGUG
rnacentral:rRNA from 1 species